GGGAGGGGGGGCUAGCGUUGUUCGGAAUUACUGGGCGUAAAGGGCGCGUAGGGCGGUAUGCCAUGUCAGGGGGUGAAAGGGCCUGGGCUCAACCUAGGAACUGCCUUUGAAACUGGCAAACUAGAGUCCGAAAGAGGAUGGCGGAAUUCCCAGUGUAGAGGUGAAAUUCGUAGAUAUUGGGAAGAACACCAGUGGCGAAGGCGGCCAUCUGGAUCGGCACUGACGCUGAGGCGCGAAAGCGUGGGGAGCAAACAGGAUUAGAUACCCUGGUAGUCCACGCCGUAAACGAUGUGUGUUAGACGUUGGGGGCCUUAGGCCCUGAGUGUCGCAGCUAACGCGUUAAGCACACCGCCUGGGGAGUACGGCCGCAAGGUUA
rnacentral:rRNA from 1 species